AGAUGAAGUUACUGAACCUGUACAUCAAGCGUGCUCAGACGACAAACAGCAAUAGCAGCAGUUCCUCAGAUGUCUCCUCUCACAGUUAAUGGAGGUGAUUUCAUCCAUUCCAAGACUCCAGAUCAGACUUCUCUGUCUUUGAGCAUCACCCUCCUCAUCACGGCUCUGCAGCUCAUCCUCUCGACCCAUUUUGUUCCUUCGUGUCAUCCGCCUCCGCUCUGGAAACAUCUGAAUGUGACUGCUGUCCUGGUUUCAAGUUGGUGGGGAAGGAGUGGACACAUUUGGAUUUUUGGAUUUAAGAAAUGGCGCUUUGUCCUCCUCCUGUAUUCCCACCAUCUCCACAUCAGCUCCAAUCUGUUUCUCCUUCAUCCCUUCUGCUUUUAGAUUUGUUUCUAUAAGCGUAAAAUAUUCACAUCAAAGAAAUGUUGCUGUUAGAUCAUCUUCAGUUUGGGAUGAAAUGUCAUUUGGCUGGCCCAGUGAUGGCAACAAGCCCAUAAAGUGUGCGGUGAAUUCUGUUAAGGGCAUGAAGACCAAAUAUUGCAAGGAGGGAAAAAAAUGAGAUAUGGACAGAAACACAAAAAGAGGAAGUCCCGUGUGAGCAUUUUUGUCCAAGGAUCAUAUUUGACUGUAAUUUCUUUUUCUUAAUGUGCUCGUUUCUCUUUAGGAGUGGCUUAAAACCCAAACUGUCAUUAUUACAAAACAGAUCUCGUCUCUAAACUGAACGACAAUCCUUCACAUUUCGUGCAGGUCUUUUAACAGAGAAAACAAACCACAGUCGCCACAUGGAGUGGAAGCUAAGCCUGUUAAAAGCCGUAACGUUUGUGUCGUUUUUACUUCCUGCUUCCAUUUGUGUCUGAACGCUCACUUUGUCUUACAGGAAGUCCUUUGUAAAUACAGCAGAUGAGGAGUCGGGGGAGAACAGGCCUUACGUUUGUGGACUGCAGAGAGUGAACGGGAUGUACGGCACCGUCACUCUCGGCUCUUUAAAAAAAAGAAAGAAAAACAAAAACAAAAAAAUGUGAAUCUACAGGAGAAGCGUCCCCAGCGGGCCGCGGCGCUCUCAGACUUGUGACCGUGCAAACACAGUAUUACUCGUUUCCUCUUUCACAGCUUCUGCAAUAACCACAAAGAAAUCAAAGGUGUUUUGUACAUACACUUUCUGACCGCUGCUUCACAGAAAAGCAGACUUUUUAUGUUUUUUUGGCUUGCAUGAACCUGCGGCACGCGUCAACUCAGCGCUGCGCGGAGAGCCCGGAGCUUCUUCGGCUGUUAAAGUGCACUUUUAACAUCAUGAGAUCACUCGACUCUGAGGAGGCGCUCGUACGGAAAAGGUACACACUCUGUGUUUAAUUUAUUCUGCUGUAAAGUUUUAAGUGGUGGAUUCCUGCUGUGAAGCACUUCAUCAAUUCCCUGAUUGGGAAGAAGUUUCUCAGUCUGAUCAGCUUUUAAUUAUUGGACCUGAUUUGGUUUUGAUGGUCAGUUGAUCUGCUGUAGUUUUUUUCUUUAUAAUACUCUGAAUAAUGAAUAAUAAUGCUGAUUCCUGAUUUGUCGAAAUCCGCUGAGAAUGGUCCAACUCUGCUUCUUUAAGGAAAUGAAUGUACAGAAACAACACGGUGAAUUUGCUGGUACUCAAAAGGAUUUGACUUUUUCUUUCUCAGCGUCCUUCAGCACGCUCAUUUAAUCAGCUGAGUUUUUACUGCAAAAGCAAACCUGCAAACUGGUGAAAACCCACCAAUCUUCUCGCCUCUGUCCUCUCGUUGCUGGAUCUAAAACAGACGCGACCGCGUUCCUUACAGACUGUUCACUAUGCAUGUUCAGCAGUCUUUCUUUGGCUUCACGUGCUCAUGUAAUAUUCACACCUGUAUUUAUAUAUUUUAUUUGAUCUUAUUGUAUUUAGUUCUGUCAUGAUGAACUGUACAGAAGGUUUUUUGUUUUGUUUUUUAUGUUAACAUCAAUGUGUGAUCAGUUUGCAGCGAUGUAAAGAAACUGUUUGCUGUAGAAAUAAAAAGACCGAGA
ensembl:lncRNA